CUCAGCAAGUUUUUGGAUGAAACCAAAAUGAAUGGUACAGUUGAUACACCAUCCAGAUGGACCUUGACAGGCUGGAGGAGCAUGACUGCAUGACUCUCAUGAACUUCAACAAGAGGGAAAAUGUCAUAGAAGCCACACAGAGAGAAGGAUAUUGAUUUUCCUUGGAAGACAAUUGUGCACAAGUGAGAUGGGCAGUGAUGAAGGGAAGGGAAGUGAUUCAAGAUAUCUAUGUAUUCAUCUUGCUUCAUUUCUGAGAUAAAUACAGAAGACAGAGACAAAUCAUUCGAUUCUGAAUCCAGCUACAAGAGAGAAACCUACUUAGUAAAAAAUAUUCAAUAACAAUCUUGCCUGUAUCUCAGAUUCCAGGAACCUCUGGAUCAAAAACCUGCAUUCCAUUUUUUCCCCAAAACAGACAAGAAGGUACCUUGAAAUACAGAUGAAAGUCACAGCCCCUGCUGAAACUUCUUGUGGUCAAGGAGUAACAAAAAAAACCCCUUUAAAUACACACUUCUUCGUGGGACCUGUUUCUGUGGAAGAUUUCGUCUAUCAAACCUCACCAAUUUAAAAGGUCUUUUAAAAUUAAGUCAGAAGUUUGGAAUUGAAAACAAAUGGCAUAAAUUCCCUAUUUUGCUUAAAUAAAUAAAUAAAAGUCUUUUUAAAAAGUGACUAAUGUUACAGGCCUGUACAUGUUUGUGUUUAGUGUUAAAUCUGUCCCAUUGAAAUAACUGAUGUUCUCAAUAAAGAAAUGAGUUUAGACAACAGUUACAGAAAGUUGGAAACAAGAAGAUUGAACAAGAACUACUGUCCAAGUCAUGUAAACAAAACUAUGAAAUAUAUUGGUCAACUUAAGUGGGGAUGGUAUAUAAGCAAAAUUUUUUGUGUUAGUGUGGAAAUAACA